GUCGAUCAAAGAAAAGCGACGUGAUUGUGUCAAGCAGUAUAUAUAUAUAUAUACGUAACCUACACAUAACUUACGAAAUCCCUCGCGGUGCAAUUUUUUUGCAAAAACCGUAUAUUCUGAGGAAUCUCUGUCCUACUACCAAGUGCGAAAAAUAACCAGUCAAGGUACGUCGGCCGUAGGAAGCGAAAACAGAUCAAUGUAAUUUAUGUAAAUUAAGUUUAUAGGACAGAGGUCAGGAGCCCGUUUCGACGUUGCAGCCUAAGUGCGUAUAAGUACAUAGACGGGGUGCUCCACGAGAGGCGUAUCACCGAAGUGAUCCCCCAAUCUACAAGGAGUAGAAUUCGAUUCUCCCCUCUUCUGCUCCGAAACGCCGAGCCCCGAAAACCUCUGACUUGGGUCAACAUAAGUGAGGCGUAGCAACCCUUAGGAAGCUCAGCGCGUAAGGCGGCGCCUCGGAACCUUUCACCAGCUCCACUGAGAAGACCAGUUUGUCGAGCACUUUAGUGCUUAUGUAAGCGGCAGAUUGACAUCAAGCCGGAUGUGCCACAUUUUAGCCCAGUGUCCAGAGCUAGAACAUUGGGCGUGAUUUUGACGGACCUGACUACAGAGGAGCCACCGCCAACAGCAAGACAGAUUUCCGGAGUUAUGCUGUGUUACUUUGCACAUUUUCUGGGAUUAAGUUCGAUAUGCCAUUUUAAGGCCAAUUCUCUGGCAGUUAUAUAUAUGUAUAUUCAAGCAUCGGGAAUCAUGAUUGUUUGUAGAAAAGAGUGGGUA
rnacentral:lncRNA from 1 species